rnacentral:ribozyme from 1 species
UUUUUUGAGAUGUUGAUUCGCUGCUCUUGCAGGGACUUGGAAAACAACGUCUACGUGAAAAA